GAUGAACGCUAGCGGCAGGCUUAAUACAUGCAAGUCGAGGGGCAGCAUGAGUGUAGCAAUACAUUUGAUGGCGACCGGCAAACGGGUGCGGAACACGUACACAACCUUCCUAUAAGUGGGGAAUAGCCCAGAGAAAUUUGGAUUAAUACCCCGUAACAUAAUGAUGUGGCAUCACAUUAUUAUUAUAGCUUCGGCGCUUAUUGAUGGGUGUGCGGCUGAUUAGAUAGUUGGCGGGGUAACGGCCCACCAAGUCUACGAUCAGUAGCUGAUGUGAGGGCAUGAUCAGCCACACGGGCACUGAGACACGGGCCCGACUCCUACGGGAGGCAGCAGUAAGGAAUAUUGGUCAAUGGACGCAAGUCUGAACCAGCCAUGCCGCGUGAAGGAUUAAGGUCCUCUGGAUUGUAAACUUCUUUUAUCUGGGACGAAAAAAGGCUUUUCUAAGUCGUCUGACGGUACCUUAUGAAUAAGCACCGGCUAACUCCGUGCCAGCAGCCGCAGUAAGAC
rnacentral:rRNA from 1 species